AGCGUACACGGUGGAUGCCCUGGCAGUCAGAGGCGAUGAAGGACGUGCUAAUCUGCGAUAAGCGUCGGUAAGGUGAUAUGAACCGUUAUAACCGGCGAUUUCCGAAUGGGGAAACCCAGUGUGUUUCGACACACUAUCAUUAACUGAAUCCAUAGGUUAAUGAGGCGAACCGGGGGAACUGAAACAUCUAAGUACCCCGAGGAAAAGAAAUCAACCGAGAUUCCCCCAGUAGCGGCGAGCGAACGGGGAGCAGCCCAGAGCCUGAAUCAGUGUGUGUGUUAGUGGAAGCGUCUGGAAAGGCGCGCGAUACAGGGUGACAGCCCCGUACACAAAAAUGCACAUGCUGUGAGCUCGAUGAGUAGGGCGGGACACGUGGUAUCCUGUCUGAAUAUGGGGGGACCAUCCUCCAAGGCUAAAUACUCCUGACUGACCGAUAGUGAACCAGUACCGUGAGGGAAAGGCGAAAAGAACCCCGGCGAGGGGAGUGAAAAAGAACCUGAAACCGUGUACGUACAAGCAGUGGGAGCACGCUUAGGCGUGUGACUGCGUACCUUUUGUAUAAUGGGUCAGCGACUUAUAUUCUGUAGCAAGGUUAACCGAAUAGGGGAGCCGAAGGGAAACCGAGUCUUAACUGGGCGUUAAGUUGCAGGGUAUAGACCCGAAACCCGGUGAUCUAGCCAUGGGCAGGUUGAAGGUUGGGUAACACUAACUGGAGGACCGAACCGACUAAUGUUGAAAAAUUAGCGGAUGACUUGUGGCUGGGGGUGAAAGGCCAAUCAAACCGGGAGAUAGCUGGUUCUCCCCGAAAGCUAUUUAGGUAGCGCCUCGUGAAUUCAUCUCCGGGGGUAGAGCACUGUUUCGGCAAGGGGGUCAUCCCGACUUACCAACCCGAUGCAAACUGCGAAUACCGGAGAAUGUUAUCACGGGAGACACACGGCGGGUGCUAACGUCCGUCGUGAAGAGGGAAACAACCCAGACCGCCAGCUAAGGUCCCAAAGUCAUGGUUAAGUGGGAAACGAUGUGGGAAGGCCCAGACAGCCAGGAUGUUGGCUUAGAAGCAGCCAUCAUUUAAAGAAAGCGUAAUAGCUCACUGGUCGAGUCGGCCUGCGCGGAAGAUGUAACGGGGCUAAACCAUGCACCGAAGCUGCGGCAGCGACACUAUGUGUUGUUGGGUAGGGGAGCGUUCUGUAAGCCUGCGAAGGUGUGCUGUGAGGCAUGCUGGAGGUAUCAGAAGUGCGAAUGCUGACAUAAGUAACGAUAAAGCGGGUGAAAAGCCCGCUCGCCGGAAGACCAAGGGUUCCUGUCCAACGUUAAUCGGGGCAGGGUGAGUCGACCCCUAAGGCGAGGCCGAAAGGCGUAGUCGAUGGGAAACAGGUUAAUAUUCCUGUACUUGGUGUUACUGCGAAGGGGGGACGGAGAAGGCUAUGUUAGCCGGGCGACGGUUGUCCCGGUUUAAGCAUGUAGGCUGGUUGUCCAGGCAAAUCCGGAUAAUCAAGGCUGAGGUGUGAUGACGAGGCACUACGGUGCUGAAGUAACAAAUGCCCUGCUUCCAGGAAAAGCCUCUAAGCAUCAGGUAACAUCAAAUCGUACCCCAAACCGACACAGGUGGUCAGGUAGAGAAUACCAAGGCGCUUGAGAGAACUCGGGUGAAGGAACUAGGCAAAAUGGUGCCGUAACUUCGGGAGAAGGCACGCUGAUAUGUAGGUGAAGUCCCUUGCGGAUGGAGCUGAAAUCAGUCGAAGAUACCAGCUGGCUGCAACUGUUUAUUAAAAACACAGCACUGUGCAAACACGAAAGUGGACGUAUACGGUGUGACGCCUGCCCGGUGCCGGAAGGUUAAUUGAUGGGGUUAUCCGUAAGGAGAAGCUCUUGAUCGAAGCCCCGGUAAACGGCGGCCGUAACUAUAACGGUCCUAAGGUAGCGAAAUUCCUUGUCGGGUAAGUUCCGACCUGCACGAAUGGCGUAAUGAUGGCCAGGCUGUCUCCACCCGAGACUCAGUGAAAUUGAACUCGCUGUGAAGAUGCAGUGUACCCGCGGCAAGACGGAAAGACCCCGUGAACCUUUACUAUAGCUUGACACUGAACAUUGAGCCUUGAUGUGUAGGAUAGGUGGGAGGCUUUGAAGUGUGGACGCCAGUCUGCAUGGAGCCGACCUUGAAAUACCACCCUUUAAUGUUUGAUGUUCUAACGUUGACCCGUAAUCCGGGUUGCGGACAGUGUCUGGUGGGUAGUUUGACUGGGGCGGUCUCCUCCCAAAGAGUAACGGAGGAGCACGAAGGUUAGCUAAUCCUGGUCGGACAUCAGGAGGUUAGUGCAAUGGCAUAAGCUAGCUUGACUGCGAGCGUGACGGCGCGAGCAGGUGCGAAAGCAGGUCAUAGUGAUCCGGUGGUUCUGAAUGGAAGGGCCAUCGCUCAACGGAUAAAAGGUACUCCGGGGAUAACAGGCUGAUACCGCCCAAGAGUUCAUAUCGACGGCGGUGUUUGGCACCUCGAUGUCGGCUCAUCACAUCCUGGGGCUGAAGUAGGUCCCAAGGGUAUGGCUGUUCGCCAUUUAAAGUGGUACGCGAGCUGGGUUUAGAACGUCGUGAGACAGUUCGGUCCCUAUCUGCCGUGGGCGCUGGAGAACUGAGGGGGGCUGCUCCUAGUACGAGAGGACCGGAGUGGACGCAUCACUGGUGUUCGGGUUGUCAUGCCAAUGGCACUGCCCGGUAGCUAAAUGCGGAAGAGAUAAGUGCUGAAAGCAUCUAAGCACGAAACUUGCCCCGAGAUGAGUUCUCCCUGAGACUUUAAGUCUCCUGAAGGAACGUUGAAGACGACGACGUUGAUAGGCCGGGUGUGUAAGCGCAGCGAUGCGUUGAGCUAACCGGUACUAAUGAACCGUGAGGCUUAACC
rnacentral:rRNA from 1 species